CCCCCCCCCCCCAAACGUCGCCCAACAGCAGCCAUCCCAGACAAUCAGCGAGGCCCUAAAAGACCCGAGAGAUGGGAAAAUGAAUAGGGAGGUUGCCGAACUGGGGACUGCAGUGGUGCGAGAACUUUCAAAGCGCUCAGCUGACAAAACCGUCUCACUACCAUGCCACGGAAAGUCAUUGGUGUUAAAACACACGCCAAAUUCCCAAAAGCCAAAUGACGAGGUUUCUGUCCGGCAUUUGAGAAGAAGGGUCUCUCAUUUACAGAAGGUCGGUGGGAGGCUAAGCGCGGGUGGGGAGAUGGACACCCUGGUUAUCCAUCACCUGCGACAAAAGGAGAAGAAGGAGCGCGAGGCAGUUCUAAAGAAAGCCCUUGGCAAGGAACUCAUCUUGCAGAAUCCAGAGGGAGAGGCCUUGGCCAUGAAAGCUGACCUCCGCCUACCUUGGUUUGCCCUUGGAAAGCUUAGGCUGUAGGUUUUUAUUUAUAAAAAUCUAAAUUAAUCCUUUGUUAGAAACGAAAUAAUUGGUUGAAAUAGCAACAUAUCUUAAAGUAUUUGUUUCGCUACGACAGGUGGUUUAGUUACUGGAUUUUGUCCACAUUUUGUUCACAAAGCCCAAGAAUAUCGAAGCGGUUUGCCACAGAGUCAUUGAGGUCUGCCAGACUGAGUGUCCAGAACUACUUGGCCAGGCAAGAACUGUCAAGGCAAAAUUCCAACAGUUGUUCAGCUUAUUCAGUGUUUGCCACUUCAAGUACAAUUCUGCGACCCCGAUGUCCCAAGAACAGUUAUCAAUUCUGGGUAAAUACGAAUUGAAAUAGUGCCAUUCUACAACCUGAAUAUUCAAACCUAUUUUGACUUAUUUUUCGCCAACAGAGCAAGAUAUCAAACUACUAUGUGGUUACUACCGCGAAACAGUUCCUGAUGAGUCUUUCCCUUCCAAGUUCAACAUGCUGGAGCACCACGUCGUGGAAUUCAUCAGGCGCUGGAGAUUCCCUUUGGGCUUUUUCGGGGAGCAGGGAGGCGAAUCAAUCCACCAUGAGCUUCAGGCCCUGCACCGUACGCACAGCCAAACAAAGCCGGCUACAAAUCGCCUUAAAGCCAUCAUCUAAGAUCACUACGUGAUCGUUGCACCGGCUAACAGGAACGUUAUUCCUGAGAAGAAACGGCGUAAUCUUAAAAGCAAAGAAAAGCAAUGAAGUUAGAAGUUAGAAUUAAAGGCCGAUAUCAUUGUAUAUAUUUGUAUAAAUUAAGUAAGUACUUAUAGCUUUCGGUUGAAUCAGGCAGACUCCAUUAUUUUAGCAAACGAAAUACGAAAACAUAAUAUUCAUACUAAUUAUUGUAGAAGCUUGCAAAAUAUUUAAGUUGCUUAGAGUUAUCGUAGAGGUUUUCUGAAACCAUAGCAUUAUGAUAGUAAGCGACUAACUUAAACCAAUUUGAAAGCCACAAUCAAUAAAAACAGGUGAAGCCUC